rnacentral:rRNA from 1 species
AACGAACGCUGGCGGCAUGCCUAACACAUGCAAGUCGAACGAGACCUUCGGGUCUAGUGGCGCACGGGUGCGUAACGCGUGGGAACCUGCCCUUAGGUUCGGAAUAACUCCCCGAAAGGGGUGCUAAUACCGGAUAAUGUCUUCGGACCAAAGAUUUAUCGCCUUUGGAUGGGCCCGCGUUGGAUUAGCUAGUUGGUAGGGUAAAAGCCUACCAAGGCGACGAUCCAUAGCUGGUCUGAGGGGAUGAUCAGCCACACUGGGACUGAGACACGGCCCAGACUCCUACGGGAGGCAGCAGUGGGGAAUAUUGGACAAUGGGCGAAAGCCUGAUCCAGCAAUGCCGCGUGAGUGAUGAAGGCCUUAGGGUUGUAAAGCUCUUUUACCCGGGAUGACAAUGACAGUACCGGGAGAAUAAGCUCCGGCUAACUCCGUG